UUAACGUGGUACGCGAGCUGGGUGCAGAACGUCGUGAGACAGCUCGGUCCCGAUCUGCCGUGGGCGUUAGAGAUUUGAGAAGAGUUGCUCCUAGUACGAGAGGACCGGAGAGAACGAACCACUGGCGUUCCGGUUGUUUCGCCAGAAGCAUUGCCGGGUAGCUACGUUUGGACGGGAUAAAAGCUGAAAGCAUCUAAGCGUGAAGCCUCCUUCAAGAUUAGAUCUCUCUGAUGAAAAUCAGUAAGGA
rnacentral:rRNA from 1 species